rnacentral:rRNA from 1 species
UACGGAGGAUGCAAGCGUUAUCCGGAAUGAUUGGGCGUAAAGCGUCCGCAGGUGGCUGUGUAAGUCUGCUGUCAAAGAGCGAAGCUCAACUUCGUAAAGGCAGUGGAAACUACACGGCUAGAGUGCGUUCGGGGCAGAGGGAAUUCCUGGUGUAGCGGUGAAAUGCGUAGAUAUCAGGAGGAACACCGGUGGCGAAGGCGGCUAUCUGGACAGAAACUGACGCUGAGGCGCGAAAGCUAGGGGGGCAAACAGG